GACGAACGCUGGCGGCGUGCUUAACACAUGCAAGUCGAACGGAAAGGCCCUGCUUUUGUGGGGUGCUCGAGUGGCGAACGGGUGAGUAACACGUGAGUAACCUGCCCUUGACUUUGGGAUAACUUCAGGAAACUGGGGCUAAUACCGGAUAGGAGCUCCUGCUGCAUGGUGGGGGUUGGAAAGUUUCGGCGGUUGGGGAUGGACUCGCGGCUUAUGAGCUUGUUGGUGGGGUAGUGGCUUACCAAGGCUUUGACGGGUAGCCGGCCUGGGAGGGUGACCGGCCACAUUGGGACUGAGAGACGGCGCAGACUCCUACGGGAGGCAGCAGUGGGGAAUAUUGCACAAUGGGCGGAAGCCUGAUGCAGCAACGCCGCGUGCGGGAUGACGGCCUUCGGGUUGUAAACCGCUUUCGCCUGUGACGAAGCGUGAGUGACGGUAAUGGGUAAAGAAGCACCGGCUAACUACGUG
rnacentral:rRNA from 1 species